UACAGAGGUGGCAAGCGUUUGUUCGGAAUUACUGGGCGUAAAGGGCGCGUAGGCGGCCUUCUAAGUCAGACGUGAAAUCCCCCGGCUUAACCUGGGAACUGCGUCUGAUACUGGAGGGCUUGAGUGCGGGAGAGGGAUGUGGAAUUCCAGGUGUAGCGGUGAAAUGCGUAGAUAUCUGGAGGAACACCGGUGGCGAAGGCGGCAUCCUGGACCGGUAUUGACGCUGAGGAGCGAAAGCCAGGGGAGCAAAGCGGG
rnacentral:rRNA from 1 species